rnacentral:rRNA from 1 species
UACGAAGGGGGCUAGCGUUGCUCGGAAUGACUGGGCGUAAAGGGCGCGUAGGCGGAUGAUACAGUCAGAUGUGAAAUUCCCGGGCUUAACCUGGGGGCUGCAUUUGAGACGUGUUGUCUAGAGUGAGGAAGAGGGUUGUGGAAUUCCCAGUGUAGAGGUGAAAUUCGUGAUGAUAGUAGGAAGAACGACGGUGCGAAGGCGGCAACCUGGUCCUUGACUGACGCUGAGACGCGAAAGCGUGGGGAGCGAACAGG